GGGUGAGGGAGGGAGUUGCAGCGGCGAAGCCCUGCCAGAUUUUGGAUCCGAACCGCAGGUAUGGCCGAAGAUACGCCAGCCCUACUUGACCGAGUCAUAGACUCAUCGCACCGGUCCUUCCUUGCAGUGGUUCAGCGCGUGAAACUUAACGUGCUGCGUCCACGUCCACCAGCGGAGUUGAUUCCUGUUGACCCACGAUGAGUGCCCAGGUUGAGUGAGGCUGGUCUUCUUACUAUAGGCCGUCUUGCUGAGAGUGAUUUGGCAAAGCUGGACAGGUCCCUACUGACGGCUCUGGUUGAUAGAUGGAGGCCUAAGACACACACCUUCCACCUCCCUUGUGGGGAGAUGUCACCGAUCCUACAGGACGUUGCGAUGCUACUGGGUCUUCCUAUCAGUGGGGAUGCCGUAGGGCCUCGCGUUGUCCCGUCUACGUGGUUGGACGAUCUAGAAGAGCGUUUUGCAAAUAUUGACAUCGCGAUUGAUGUAGAGGAGCACCCAAAAACAACAGGGCGUGCCAAGUCAUGGAUUCUGCAGUUCCAGGUACAUACCUCGUUUUGUUAUGAGUAAUGUUAGAGUUAUGCUUUUGACUAGUGCAGUUAUGGUUUUAUUUUAUAAUUGAUCUUGUACUCAUAAAUGUUCAUCUU